rnacentral:rRNA from 1 species
CCUACGGGGGGCAGCAGUGGGGAAUAUUGGACAAUGGGCGCAAGCCUGAUCCAGCCAUACCGCGUGGGUGAAGAAGGCCUUCGGGUUGUAAAGCCCUUUUGUUGGGAAAGAAAAGCAGUCGAUUAAUACUCGGUUGUUCUGACGGUACCCAAAGAAUAAGCACCGGCUAACUUCGUGCCAGCAGCCGCGGUAAUACGAAGGGUGCAAGCGUUACUCGGAAUUACUGGGCGUAAAGCGUGCGUAGGUGGUUGUUUAAGUCUGUUGUGAAAGCCCUGGGCUCAACCUGGGAAUUGCAGUGGAUACUGGGCGACUAGAGUGUGGUAGAGGGUAGUGGAAUUCCCGGUGUAGCAGUGAAAUGCGUAGAGAUCGGGAGGAACAUCCAUGGCGAAGGCAGCUACCUGGACCAACACUGACACUGAGGCACGAAAGCGU